UUAUUAUUGGAAAUGCCAUAGGCAGGCUGUUAGAAUAAACACUUUGCCACAUUGAAUUUUCUCCAGUAUAUCUUAGUAGCUCCAGUAUAUUCAGCAUUCAUUUUUUUUUGUUGCUGUUGCUGUUUUUCAAAAUAGGGUGGGUACCAGCAAGAGAAAUACGUAAUGCGCUUCAGCUCUGCAGAAACAAGCAGCUGGAACAAGGAGACGCCUCACCCCUGGCCUGCCCAUGUCGGAGGCAAGAGGCAAGAACAGAAGGUGUCUGCUCCUGCAGAUCUCCCCUGUACAAAUUCUCCCACAAAAAGACUUAUCAAGGCCGGUGUUCGCACCCAUCACUUGCAGAGACAUUUGGGGCAGGGGACAAAGUCCACUGCUCCUGUGAGAGCUUGCCAUUGAUUUGGGAUGUGACUUUCAGCAGGCACCAAGAACCAGUGCGUCUCUUUAUGCUGAUCUCCUCUGUUCACAUGCUUAUCCUUGGACUGAUGGAGGAAAUCAAAGGAGCUGUGUCUUCCUCCAAAAUCUCCAGCAUUCAGAAAAAGAAUGUAGUAAGGUGAAAUCAUAGAACUCUCAUUAUUCCAACCCUGAAAAAUGCUCUGUAAACACACCAUAGUUCAAAAUAACAGAAGGAUUUUACAGAAUGCACACUUAAAUAUUGUAUGAUCAUUGGAGUUUUGGAAAUACUAUGAAUACACUAUGCUUACAACAUUACUUUUCAGUACUCCCUGUUGGUAUUUUGUAUGACUUUUCAGCUAAUCUUAUCACAAAUUCUUCUUUUUUCUUUUUUCUUUUUUCUUUUUUUUUUUUUUUUGUGGUUCCCAUGCCAAGCCUCUGAUGUGGCUGGCUGGACAGCAUGGCUCAUCUGCAUUUCUUCUAACAGCAUGGGGCAAACAAUGACCUCAGGCUGCAGCACAGACUGACAACCUGGCAAAUACUUUGGGUCCCAGAUAGACUUAUCCAGCUUUCAAUCCCACCCAGAGACAUUGCUUCAUUUUUUAUUACUGUAGUGGUGCCUAUGCAGCCUCUCCACAGUGUUUUGUGCUAUCUCCAUGCUAAAGAUCAGCCUGGUAAUUUUGCCAGUGGGAAUGUUCCUUAUGUGUUGUUGGAAGAGGGUUGUGAAGCACAGAUAUUGUCUGUGAAAAGCCCA
rnacentral:lncRNA from 1 species